rnacentral:tRNA from 1 species
CCCAGCCGGGUCGCCAGGUGCCGCAACCGGUGCGCUUCGGGCACGUCACCGGCGACGACCAGUUCGGUGUCCGGCAGCUGGGG